rnacentral:tRNA from 1 species
CUAAGAGAAAGGUAAAUAAUUAAAGAAAGUGAAUGUUUUCUUUAAUAAAACCGUAUAAAUUGUUUUAAUCUUUAAUAUACGGUAAGUCUUGAAGUACACAAGACGCUCCCUUACUCUUUUCCCUAAUGCCUGUUCUUUUCCUCUUCCUCUUUUUUUAUAGGGCCUGUAGCUCAGUUGGUUAGAGCACUUCUCUGAUAAGGAAGGGGUCAUUAGUUCAACUCUAAUCAGGCCCAUACCGACUGAACUCGGUUUUUUAUUCGAUUGAUAAAAAAAUCGAAAUUGAUAUUUGAAAUAGAUAGGGAAGGGAACGAAAAAAUGAAAGUAAGGCGGUUUAUAUCGGAGUGUAAGCGUAAAAUCGGUUAAUUAAAUUGACUGUGAGGGUUUAUGUAAAGAUAUAAGCUGUUAAGAAAUAAGUUCAUUCUUUGAAAAUGAGAAAGAAGGGACGAUAAUAU